rnacentral:rRNA from 1 species
UACGUAGGGUGCAAUCGUUGUCCGGAAUUAUUGGGCGUAAAGAGCUCGUAGGCGGUUUGUUGCGUCGGCUGUGAAAUCCCGAGGCUCAACCUCGGGUCUGCAGUCGAUACGAGCAAACUAGAGUGUUGCAGGGGAGACUGGAAUUCCUGGUGUAGCGGUGAAAUGCGCAGAUAUCAGGAGGAACACCGGUGGCGAAGGCGGGUCUCUGGGCAACAACUGACGCUGAGGAGCGAAAGCGUGGGGAGCGAACAGG